rnacentral:lncRNA from 1 species
UACGUCAUCAAAAAAAUUCCAAGAUGCCCGAAAUGCAUACACCUCCUUGUUUUCUCUUUUUACAUAGCCCGAUCUGACGGCAGCCCCCAGCAAGAUACGUAAAAUUUUACCGUCACGUCAGUCCAAUCGGUACUACUUAUAGUUAUUAUUUACGUCAAGCGGUCAGCGGGUAGUGCUGGAAGUGAUAUCGCUGGGCAAGUGGCUCGGACGGAUUAAUUUCGCGCCUCGAAGCUGUGUUCCUUCGUGAUCCUAAAAUCUCAAAAUUCGUCGAAUUUGGCAGGUGAAAAUUGCUGUCCAAGUUGUCGGCAAUUGCUGUGUGACGUCGAAGAAACUCCCGACUUGUGUUUUCCGAGUUAUGACUUUAGCUCGCGUUAGGUAAGUCGCGAUAUCACCAAUUACAAUUCUGAACUUAUGGUUUUAGUGAAGGAGCCUAGCUGUGUUCCUAAAAAUUUUGGCUGUUAGUUUGAGCGCGGCUCUGGAAUUCAUUCUUCCGAAACCUUAGUUAAUUCUCUCGCUGAGUGUUAAAAGUGAUUGUGGUGGAAUGACUCUAAUGGUUUGGAAUUAACAAGGAUUAACAUCUGCUUUCUACCAGGUCGCAAAGUAGUUAAACGGUUCAAAUGUUGUGUUUUCUGUGAUAGUUUACGUACCUGUUUUACAAAGUCGAUUAUUUUGUUGGGUUUUCCUGAGCUCCAAGGAUUGCAGCCAUGAAAACAUUCACUAAGGUGAGUUUUCAUUGUAUUUUCAGUUUUCUCUUCAUUCACAGCAUCAUAUAACGUAACAUGACCGUAGGGUGAGGGGAAGGGGCUUGGAGGGGAAUAAGAUUGAAGAGAGAUUUCAGCAGUUUUUCAAGAAAUUUUGUUUUCUUUAUUUCUUUUUUCAUUUUCUUAGUCAUUG